rnacentral:rRNA from 1 species
GACGAACGCUGGCGGCGUGCUUAACACAUGCAAGUCGAACGGUAAGGCCCUUCGGGAUACACGAGUGGCGAACGGGUGAGUAACACGUGGGUGAUCUGCCCUGCACUUCGGGAUAAGCCUGGGAAACUGGGUCUAAUACCGGAUAGGACCACUGCCUGCAUGGGUGGUGGUGGAAAGCUUUUGCGGUGUGGGAUGGGCCCGCGGCCUAUUAGCUUGUUGGUGGGGUGAUGGCCUACCAAGGCGACGACGGGUAGCCGGCCUGAGAGGGUGACCGGCCACACUGGGACUGAGAUACGGCCCAGACUCCUACGGGAGGCAGCAGUGGGGAAUAUUGCACAAUGGGCGCAAGCCUGAUGCAGCGACGCCGCGUGAGGGAGGACGGCCUUCGGGUUGUAAACCUCUUUCAGCACCGACGAAGCGCAAGUGACGGUAGGUGCAGAAGAAGGACCGGCCAACUACGUGCCAGCCGCCGCGGUAA